UGUGCUUGUUUGUUUAUCUGGUGAAAAAGGACUUAACAGGUGCAAAAGAUAAUUCCUCUUUACAACACAGAGCUCGUUGUUCAAUAUGAGUUUGAUACAUAAAAGAAGGAGUAUU
ensembl:snoRNA